rnacentral:misc_RNA from 1 species
AAUUCUCAACUUCACCGAUUUGCUUUGGGUGAGGCUUGGAUUUGGAGUGUGCUGGACUUUGUUUUGGGUCGGCUCCUCUUUAAAUGCAGCAAGCGGAGUCUUCAUUGACUUUUGCGGUGUCGGUGUGAUAAUUAUGUUGGCCCGUGGGUCUCAGUCCGCUUAGAAUUGUCUUUGGACAACUUAUGUAAC